CAAAUUGCCACGUUAUUGGUCCCACAUACCCCUAGAUACAAGGUGGGAUCAUAACAAACGAAGAGUUCCACCACACUGCUUUUUCCAUCAAGCGCCAAGGAACAGUUUUAACCCAGCUGGGAACGGGUGAUGUCCCAGAGCCUCCUUAACACUUACAUAGAACUCAUUCACUGCUUUUAAUCUUUACUCAUGGAUCAUCCACAUACCUGACCCUUUAAGUGCAUUAAAAGCCAUGUCAUGUACUAAUCAUGUCAA